GACGAACGCUGGCGGCGUGCUUAACACAUGCAAGUCGAACGAUGAAGCUGGAGCUUGCUCCGGUGGAUUAGUGGCGAACGGGUGAGUAACACGUGAGCAAUUUGCCCUUGACUCUGGGAUAACUGCGGGAAACUGUAGCUAAUACCGGAUAUGAGGCUUGGAGGCAUCUCCAGGUCUGGAAAGAAUUUCGGUCAAGGAUGAGCUCGCGGCCUAUCAGCUAGUUGGUGAGGUAAUGGCUCACCAAGGCGACGACGGGUAGCCGGCCUGAGAGGGUGACCGGCCACACUGGGACUGAGACACGGCCCAGACUCCUACGGAAGGCAGCAGUGGGGAAUAUUGCACAAUGGGCGGAAGCCUGAUGCAGCAGCGCCGCGUGAGGGAUGAAGGCCUUCGGGUUGUAAACCUCUUUUAGCAGGGAAGAAGCGAAAGUGACGGUACCUGCAGAAAAAGCACCGGCUAACUACGUGCCAGCAGCCGCCGUAA
rnacentral:rRNA from 1 species